rnacentral:rRNA from 1 species
UACUAGAGUAGCACUCGCAUAUCAAUAAGCGGAGGAAAAGAAACUAACAAGGAUUCCCCUAGUAACGGCGAGUGAAGCGGGAAGAGCUCAAAUUUGAAAUCUUAAAGGGUUUCCCUUUACGAAUUGUAGUUUAAAGAAGUGUUUUCUGUUGAGGUUUUGGUAAAAGUUCUUUGGAAUAGGACAUCAUAGAGGGUGAGAAUCCCGUAUUUGACCUUUACUUUCAACUUUGUGAUACACUUUCAAAGAGUCGGAUUGUUUGGGAAUGCAGUCCAAAAUGGGUGGUAAAUUUCAUCUAAAGCUAAAUAUUGGCGAGAGACCGAUAGCGAACAAGUACCGUGAGGGAAAGAUGAAAAGAACUUUGAAAAGAGAGUUAAACAGUACGUGAAAUUGUCAAAAGGGAAGCGUUUGACACCAGUGUUGUUUUUCUGAAAAUCAAUUAAAGAACUGUUUAUGCUAAGUUGUUUAGACUUUAUCAGCUAACUGUUUAGUUUUGAGCUUUUCUUUAAUGCACUUUUCAGUUAACAAGUCAACAUCAAUUUCUUUUGCUGUAAAAAAGCUUGAGGAAGGUGGCUUGAGAUUCGUCUUAAGUGUUUAUAGCCUCUUGCCUAUGCAGUCGGAGAGAUUGAGGUCUGCAGCGUAGAUCCUUCGGGGCUAAAUGCAUUUGUGCUAAGUUAUAGCAUUUUAUAGACAACUUGUUGACUAUGAUUUGUCUUGUAGCUUACUCGCUUAUGUUAUUUUACCUACGCUUAGGAUGUUGAAGACUCUACAGAGAUA